AGAUUAAUAUUAGUAGUUAAUGGGUUAAAAAAUUAAAAUAAUAUACACAAAACAUUAUUAAAUUUAGUAUAGGUGAUUGAAAUUUAAUAUUUCUGCAUGGAGAUAGUACUGUGAAGGAAACUAGAGAAAACUAAGAACUAGAAAUAAUUAAAAUUUGUACCUUUUGCAUCAUGGCUUAACUAGAUUAGGUCCUAGAUAGGAGAUCUCGAAACCUAAUGAGCUAUCUUUAUUCCUUUUUAUAGAUCAUAAUAACGAGUUGGUUGUGGCAAAAAUCUCUCAAGAAAUAAAGAUAGAUAUGAAAUUUUAUUCGUAUUAGGUGAUAGCUAGUUCUUUUCUAAAGGCAUAUUAGUGCCCUAAAUCAUAGGUUCGACAGCACAAAUAAAUAUUUGUGAUUGUAUGUAUUGAUUUACCUAGAUUUUCGAGGAUAAGCUCGGAAAUGAUUUGAAAUUGCAUUUAAUUUUUUUUUAGAUAUAAGCUUAGUAAUGGCUAUUGAUGUAGGAUUUUAUUAUAAUUCAUUUUUUGAUUAUUAAUAUAAUUUAUUUGCUUAAUAAAUAGGGAAGAAAUUUUAGUAACUUAAGUAUAAAAUAAUUUUAUGUUAAGAUGAGUAUUAAACUAUUUAUUAAACUGCUAAAAAGCUAAAACUUAGUGUAAUAUAAAACGUUUUAAAAUAAAAUCAUUAAAAGGAACUCGGCAAAACCGUAUUCUGCCUGUUUAUCAAAAACAUGGCUUCGUGUCCAUAUUAAAAUACGAAGUCGGACCUGCCCAGUGAGUUUUAAACGGCCGCGGUACUCUGACCGUGCAAAGGUAGCAUAAUCAUUUGCCUUAUAAUUGAAGGCUGGAAUGAAUGGUUUGACAAGAAUACACCUGUCUCUUUUAGAUUAUUUAGAAUUUUAUUUCUGGAUGAAAAAGUUCAGAUAGCAUUAAAAGACAAGAAGACCCUAUUGAGCUUUAGAGAAAUUAAUAGAUUUAAUAUAAAUCGAUAUAAGUAAAAGAAAAGCUAUUAAAUACUUUGGUUGGGGCAACCGAGGAGCAAAUAAAGACUCCUCUAAAUCAUAAAUCUUACUUGUGUUGAUCCAAAGAAUUUUGAUCAAAGGAAUUAGUUACCGUAGGGAUAACAGCAUUAUCUUUUUCAAGAGCCCAUAUCGAAAAAAAGGUUUGUGACCUCGAUGUUGGACCAGAAUGUCCUAAAGAUGCAGAAGUCUUUAAAGGUUGGUCUGUUCGACCAUUAAAAUUCUACGUGAUCUGAGUUCAGACCGGCGUGAGCCAGGUCAGUUUCUAUCUUUAUAUUUUUUGGUUGCGCUUAGUACGAAAGGACCAAUGUAACGUAUAAAAUAUUUUAAUUAGAUUAAAUAUAAUUCAACUUUAAA
rnacentral:rRNA from 1 species